AGCCUGGGCGGGCUUCCCUCCGCCAAUCUCAAGCUGCGAGUCAGACGCAGAAGCUCGCUUGUCUCUAACCCCCAGUGCGCAAGUCAGUGGCAUCACAUCCGGGCAGAGCCUGCGCCUGCUUCCCUCCGUGGAUCUCGAGUUGCUGGUCAGACCAAUGCGCAAGUCAGGGAUGUCACAUCCGGGCCACCUGGGUUGACAGCAGGGGCGGAACCGGAUUCGGCCAGGGUGGGAGUUGGGGUGGGGGAGGAGGCGAGAGGUCCUGGGGUUAGGGGUUGAGGUAGGCGUGCCCCUCAGUCCUUUGAUUCCUGGCAUAGCCUGGACCCCUGUUCUCUGCGGAUGGUGUCUGCUCCCCUCAGACCAAGGUUCUGACUCCGAGUCCCCUGAGGUCACAGUGGGGGGAGAGGUGUCCUUGGGCGACAAAGCCUCUGGGGUCUUCCAGGGCUGACAGGAGGGACUAAGCUGGAUUCUGUGGCCCCUCUUUGAGCGGGGGUCGACCCUCAGUCUUCACUCAGGAGGGUCCUCUUCCUGGGUCCUGGCUCUUUGUUGAAGUGAUGGGUUGGAGAUGCUCUUUUUCUCUCACCUCUGAGCAUUUGCCCAGCUGUACCCCUUACAGAAAAUGGCUGCGGGUACCAGGCGAGGUGUUCCCUGGGUGGCUGCAGCACCCGUUAUUGUAGUGACCUCUGUGAGAAGAUGCACGCCUUCCCACAGGGGCUCCUCCCCAGCCAGAGCUGGACUUUGGAAACCUUUUUUCCUCAAAGAAAUAUAUUUUACAUAUCUUCCAAGGAUAUAUAUAGGUAGCAACAUAUAUAUUUAUUUCUAUGAAAGAAUACCUACCCUUAGUUUGCAUGAUUCACUCUGAUACCCUAUUCAACUUCUAUUCCAUUGUUUAUGUUCUGUUAAAAUAAUUCUUUUCGAGGCCAGCCUGGCCAACAGGGUGAAACACUGUCUUCACUAAAUAUAGAAAAAAAAUUAAAAAAUUAGCUGGGCGUGGUGGUGGGCGCCUAUAAUCCCAGCUACUUGGGAGGCUGAGGCAGGAGAAUCGCUUGAACCUGGUAGGCGGAGGUUGCAGUGAGCCAAGAUCGAGUCAUUGCACUCCAGCCCGGGCGACAGUCUCAAUAAUAAUAAUAAUAAUAAUAAUAAUAAUAAUAAUAAUAAUGCUAAUCCUCAUCCACUAAGUUGGUUUCAGGUUGUAAUUAGCAGAUCUCCGGAACCAUACUGCCUUAACCAACCCAAUUUUCCUGCUGUCCUGCUAUUACCCUAGGGUUACUGGAAUCGUGUUUUGAGGUGCUGCCUCAGAUUGUGCAGUGCAGUGAGGUGGAGAUUUUAAAAUGUUCAUCCUAUUCAUUCUGUCAUCUGACGUCUAGGCAGGCUAUAGACUUCAACAUCCCUGCAGCCAACCCCCCUCCAACUGACACCGCCCCAAACAUAAGUACCAGUUCAACACAGUCCUCAGUCUCACCCAGGAUUUUCUGUGUUUUGUUGCUUAGAUUUUAUUGCUUAUAUUGUUGUUUUUUCUUUCUUUCUUUUUCUCUUCUAUAAUUUUCCAGAGUUGAUUUGGGAACCAGAGAACAGCAGCCUAAGUGUGACUGUAAUUUUGGCAGCUACAGAUUCCCAAGACAACUAGGAAGGGAAAAGGAACCCUUCAAGGAAGUUCCAGGAAAAACGUCUCUCCCAAAAAGACCACCGCUUCAGGAAAACCUGAGGAAGGGAGUGGGGCCAACAGUAUCCUGCCAUUGUGACCAGCUGAACGAGGAACUCCAUCAAAAUGAGCCACAGCUGGACCAAAACAGUGAGGAGACCUCCACCUUCUUCAGUGUCUCCCUGAGCAGUCAGUAAUUUCAGGGCAAGCUGAGAGGUCUCCAGAGGUCUAACCCCAGAUAAAUAGCCAACAGGGUCUAGAGUACAUUUUAUACCCAACAGGGUAUACCCCAUGGUGUCAAAAUAAAAUAAACCUGUUGUAAAAUGA